rnacentral:lncRNA from 1 species
UCCCUACAGGGACACCUGAGAGGGCCCAGCCUCCUCCUCCUCAGGACCCACUCGGGAGACGCCGCUGGCUCUCUAGGAACACCUGGGGACCGUGGCCAGGGACGACCCAGCCUCCUUCUCCUCAGCUCCUCAGGAACGACUGGGGAAGCUGUGGCUUCAUGGUCCCCGAGGCUGCCCGAGGAAAGGUAUUUCAGGACAGCCAGGAGGGGGCGCACAUCCGCCGCGAAACUGUGAGCAAGAGCGUCUGUGCUGAACCAUGGCGCCACCAGAGGGCGCGCGAUCCCGCCCCAACCAACUUCCCGCUGAAGUGCCAGAAGCAGCGAGGAGCUUCAACUUCCUCAGGGCAGCACGGGGGUCGUGUUAAUUUGGUGUUCUUCAUUGAUUCCCCAACAGUUAUUGCUGUACCAGAUUUGCAGUGUCCCACAAAAUACUCCGGUAUAUUGUACUGAAAGCAUGGACACUCUCCCAGAUGAUGAUUAUUCCCCACCUUCUAAGAGACAAAGACCAACGAGCCACCACAGCCACCAGUCCCAGAACCUGCCAAUGCUGGGGAACGGAAAAUGAGGGAGUUC